UGGACGAGUAUGUGUUUUUGUUUUGGUUUUUAAUAAUAUGCUGCUCUUCUGCGUACACUGCAAAAAAAUGUUCCAUAAAACCGGAAUGUAGACCUACGUGUGCUGUACCAAAUCCACCGAAUUGUACCUACACCCAACCAUCUGAUACAAAUAUCGACGGAUGUCAAUGUCAAGAAGGUUAUAUAUUGUCGAAAACAGAUGGCGAAUGUAUUAAAAUCGAACUUUGUCCAGCUAAUCUGGGAUGCAAUGGCGACCCUAAUGCUGUAGUGAGACAAUGUCCUUUGCCAUGCUGCCCUUC